CACAGCUUCAUGUUGAUUUCUUGAUGAGAAUCUCCUUGGAAGCUGAGGAAACUGGAACACCUUGGACUUGGCUUAUGACACCAAGAAUCUGCAAACUUUAGAGGCUCUGUUGAGAGAACUCUUCAGGAGGACUGUAGCCUGGCAGGAUGUCUGUACCCCUGCAGCCCCUGCCCAGUGCUGUGACCAUGCUACAGUGGGAGCACAGACCUCUCUGGUGCCAAGGAUCUCUUUGCACCAUGCUCACACUUCGAGCUGGUGUGGCAUCCCCCAUCCUUUUUGUCUGAGAGCUGCAGCUGCCACUGGACUUGGACUCAGAAAACCCAGAGGCCAGCAGAGUGGGGUAUGUCUGCUAUGGAGGUGGAUUGUACCAGAACUGACUGGAUUGAAGAUCUUGUGUUGACCUGAGGGGUUUUUUCCUGCAAAGGAAGGUCUGAGGCUCCCACUGGACCUUGCUCACCUCCAGCACAGAGCAAAGCUGGUGUCCCCUGGAUGGAAAU